GCAGAGAUCAGGAAGAAACUCAGCUUCUGAGACCUUUAUUUGGGGGUAUUGUUUGCUGAGCUAUCCACAACUUUCAAGCUCACUUUCUUACCUACAUAUUCCUGCACCUUUUCUCUUUAUUAAUAAUAACAUAUUUAAUCUGUGCCUAGCCCAUUAAAGUGGGCUGGUUCCACCAUGCGACCCACAUUACACACUUUUGAAGGUGAGCCCAAAACACAGCCUGCACAGCUCGGUCUGUUAGCCGAUCCACUUAGUGAAAAGUCCUAUCCUUCUAAAAAGCACAAAUUCUGGACUGCUUCAGCCUGUGGCAGAGAGUGUGUGAGGUGGGAUCACAGGCAGAGGGGUGUAGUUUAGGCCAGCGCUUUCCCUCCGAAGCAGUGGAGCAACUGUCUUCUGGUCUCCGGGUGGAUCUUCCCAGACAGGAAGCAGUUGGCCUGUCAGUCAGGCUCUUGCAAUUCAGCACACUGUGAAAUUCAGGAGGUGCCCCAGGCCAAUUCAGGCAAGGCUAUUCAAACGUCUACUAAGACCCAACAAUGGGGCUAGACAUUGCUGCGGUGGUGGGAACAACAUAAUCAAGUCACAUUUUUUUGAAAUCAAACUGAUUGCCUGGGUUGCUAGCUGCAGGAGAGUGCUAAGUGUCUCAAGAGCCAGAGGCUUGAGGGUAUUGUUUGGAGGAGAGGCAGCCAGAGGAGAAAGGGAGAAGGGAAGCAGGGUCAGACGUUUAUCCCUGGGGUUUUCUGAUUCUUGGGAACAGUGGAGAUUAAAGGCCUCAGCAGCACUGGCAGAGGGAGGCACCUUCUGAAGUCUUCUGCUCAAGAAGACAGCCAAGGCUGGCGUCACUUCUAGACGGACUGUGCUCCAACUUUCUGUGUCCCUGGCUUUUGGAGCUCCUUCUUCAUAUUCCACAGGUCGUCCCCUUCAACUAGCCGUGUGACAGAAAAGAGCCCCGGGUCAGGAUUAGACCGCCGAGGCGGAACGGCUGUUUCCACACGUCACCCCGACCGGCCGGCCCGACCGCCGCGGCGGAGGCUUCCAUUCCCCUCGGCACCUCGGGAGCUCCUCCUCCAUCCACGCCCUCCCUCGGCGGCUCCCUCUCCUGCCCCAGGCCGAGCGGCGC